CGGUACUUAAGUGGUCAACUGGAUAUCUAGUUCCAUUGCUUGCUGCAUCAAAGGCUUCACUUGAGCUUCAUACCAUUCAAGGAAAGAGAAACAUUGUGUUUUGUGGAGCUUACCAAGGUUAUGGAUUCAAUGAGGAUGGGGUGAAGGCCUGCAUUGUUGCAGCAAACACAAUGCUUAAUAAGAGUUAUGAUAUUCUCAACAACCCUAAUCAGAUGGUACCCUCUUUCAUGGAAGCCAGUGCACGGUCGUUGAUUGUUAAGUUUCUUCAAAAUUACAUUACCCUUGGAACUUUAAUUUUAAUUGAAGAAGGGGGUAGAGUGUUCAAGUUUGAAGGGAUCAAAAAGAAAAGUUCGUUAAAAGUUCA